CUUUCAACAACGGAUCUCUUGGUUCUGGCAUCGAUGAAGAACGCAGCGAAAUGCGAUAAGUAAUGUGAAUUGCAGAAUUCAGUGAAUCAUCGAAUCUUUGAACGCACAUUGCGCCCCUUGGUAUUCCGAGGGGCAUGCCUGUCCGAGCGUC
rnacentral:rRNA from 1 species